rnacentral:pre_miRNA from 1 species
UUUCCUGCCCUCGAGGAGCUCACAGUCUAGUAUGUCUCCUCCCUACUAGACUGAGGCUCCUUGAGGACAGGGAUCGUCAUACUCACCU